AGGAUAAACGCUGGCGGCGUGCCUAACACAUGCAAGUCGAACGUCUCUUCUUUCGGGAAGAGGAGUGGCGGACGGGUGAGGAACACGUGGGAACCUGCCCUUUAGUGAGGAAUACCGGCGAGAAAUCGCCGACAAGACCGCAUAGCCCUCUUUGAUGAGAGUCAAAGAAGGAAAGCUUCGCAAGAGGCGCUAGAGGAGGGGCCUGCGUCCGAUUAGCUAGUUGGUGGGGUAAGAGCCUACCAAGGCGUCGAUCGGUAGCUGGUCUGAGAGGACGAUCAGCCACACUGGGAUUGAGAACGGCCCAGACUCCUACGGGGGGCAGCAGUGAGGAAUUUUCGGCAAUGGGGGAAACCCUGACCGAGCAACGCCGCGUGCAGGAAGACGGCCUUCGGUUGUAAACUGCUUUUCUUGGGACGAGGAAGGACGGUACCAGAGGAAUCAGCCCCGGCUCACUACGUGCCAGCAGCCGC
rnacentral:rRNA from 1 species